UACGUAGGGGGCAAGCGUUGUCCGGAAUCAUUGGGCGUAAAGAGCGUGUCGGCGGCCCGAUAAGUCCGCCGUGAAAGUCCAGGGCUCAACCCUGGAAUGCCGGUGGAAACUGUCGGGCUGGAGUCCGGAAGAGGCGAGUGGAAUUCCUGGUGUAGCGGUGAAAUGCGCAGAUAUCAGGAGGAACACCAAUGGCGAAGGCAGCUCGCUGGGACGGUACUGACGCUGAGACGCGAAAGCGUGGGGAGCAAACAGG
rnacentral:rRNA from 1 species